AUUGAACGCUGGCGGCAGGCCUAACACAUGCAAGUCGAGCGAGCGGCGGACGGGUGAGUAAUGUCUGGGAAACUGCCUGAUGGAGGGGGAUAACUACUGGAAACGGUAGCUAAUACCGCAUAACAUAAGAUGUGCCCAGAUGGAAUCAGCUAGUAGGUGGGGUAACGGCUCACCUAGGCGACGAACCCUAGCUGGUCUGCGAGGGUGACCAGCGACUCUGAAACUGAGCAAAGGUCCAGACGCCUACGGAGGACAGCAGUGGGGAAUAUUGCACCAGGGGCGCAAGCCUGAUGCAGCCAUGCCGCGUGUUCGAAGGAGUCCUUCGGGUUGGAAAGCACAUUAACCGGGGAGACGUUACGCGCAGAAGAAGCACCGGCUAACACCGUGCCAGCAGCCGCGGUAAUAC
rnacentral:rRNA from 1 species